GACAGAGGGUGCAAACGUUGUUCGGAAUUACUGGGCGUAAAGCGCACGUAGGCGGACAUUUAAGUCAGGGGUGAAAUCCCGGGGCUCAACCCCGGAACUGCCUUUGAUACUGGGUGUCUCGAGUCCGGAAGAGGUGAGUGGAAUUCCGAGUGUAGAGGUGAAAUUCGUAGAUAUUCGGAGGAACACCAGUGGCGAAGGCGGCUCACUGGUCCGGUACUGACGCUGAGGUGCGAAAGCGUGGGGAGCAAACAGG
rnacentral:rRNA from 1 species